rnacentral:miRNA from 2 species
UAAGUGCUUUUAUGUUGAAGUGG